GUCCAACAUCUUAGUGAGGCUGCAGUGUCUGCUGCUGCUCUCCGAGCCUCACAAAGAAGUGGUCCAAAGGCAAAGUUCGGGACAAGCUCAAUAACUUAGUCUUGUUUGACACAGCUACCUAUGACAAACUCUCUAAGGAAGUUCCCAACUAUAAACUUAUAACCCCAGCUGUGGUCUCUGAGAGACUGAAGAUUUGAGGCUCUAUGGCCAGGGCAGUCCUUCAGGAGCUCCUUAGUAAAGGACUUAUCAAACUGGUUUCAAAGCACAGAGCUCAAGUAAUUUACACCAGAAAUACCAAGGGCGGAGAUGCUCCAGCUGCUGGUGAAGAUGCAUGAAUAGGUCCAACCAACUGUACAUUUGGAAAAAUAAAACUUUAUUAAAUCAAAAAAAAAAAAAA